ACGGCACCGCCGACGGAACGGCACCGGGACGGAACCGCGGCACGACGGGAGUGGUGCUGAGCUCUGCUGUACCGCGGGGGGAGGGGGAGGGGGAUUUGGAGCGGGAGGAGUGAGUGCAGCCCCGGGACAGGAAAGGAACCCUGUGCGGCCGUAACCCACCUCCGUGUGGGGUGUGUGGUUGGGAAAUGGAUGUGGGAUUGGGGUUCGGAUGUGGGGUAUGGAAUUAUGGCUGUGGGAUUGGGAUGGGGAUUAUGGUGUGGGAUUGGAAGGUGGGGUAUAGGAUUGGGGGUGUGGGGUUGGGGUUGGGAUAAGGUCUGGGAUAUGGGAUUAGGGAUAUGGGAUUGGUAUGUGGGAUUGGGAUGUGGGGUAUAGGAUUGGGGGUGUGGGAUUGGGGUUUGCCUUGGGAUGGGGGCUGUGGGGCCUGGAUGUGGGCUAUUGGGCUGGGAUGUUGGGUUGGGAUUGAGGCUAGGAUGUGGGAUAUAGGUUUAGGGGUGUGGGACUGGGGUUUGCAUUGGGAUGUGGGCUGUGGGGCUGGGGUUGGUGCUGGGUUUGAGGUUGGGGUUGGCAUAUAGGAUUAGAGGUGUGGGAUUGGGAUUUGCAUUGGGCUGUGGGGCCGGGAUGUGGGGUUGGGAUUGAGGUCAGGAUGUGGGAUGUAAGGAAAUGUGCCCUGUUCACAGGUGGGUCGUGUGGUGUUGUGGGGAAGCACUGCAGAUGAAAAGCUGCUGUGUGGAGCCCCACAGGACGAGUUGCAGAGGCCCCUGAAGGAAAAGGAGAUGGGCAUUUGCAGAGGGAAAGGCUGUCCCGCUGGCCUUAGGUGUUGCUGAACGGGAGGGGUGGCCAAUGCUUUCUCUUUCCGCUGACUCACGGAUGGUGGCAAAUGCCUUCUGGGGGUGGUUCCAGCAGUGGGAAGAAAACAACUGGCAGCGGAGGGGUGAACCUCUUUGGGCUGCUGAGCUGUGUGCUGAACCAUAAGGAAGGUGGCUGUAAAGGUGUGCCGUGCAGAUGUCGUGUGCCCAGCAGUCGGGCCGAUGAAGAGCAACAAAUGAAGCGCCAGUGGCUCAGAUGGCUUCUCGCCUCCUGGGUGCCCUUGCCUCUUUCCUUGCCAUGGCCUUGAGGCUUUUCCUCAGCUGGCUGGCUGAUCCGUCCCCGGCGGCUGCCCUUUCCUCCUGCCAGGCACACAUGGUAAGCUGUUGGCCUGCACCACAGUCACUUGUCAGCUUUGCUUUGCCAUGACAUCGGAUCCAGUUUCUGUU
ensembl:lncRNA